AUGACCCGCGCGGGAGAGUCGCCGGGCGCCGGGAUCCUCGGAUCCGGGCGCGACCGCGACACCGAAGGAGCAAGCCUCCCCGCCAAUCUCUCAGGUGCACGUACCGCGUGGAUCGG
rnacentral:ncRNA from 2 species